UACGGAGGGUGCAAGCGUUAAUCGGAAUUACUGGGCGUAAAGCGCGCGUAGGCGGCUUGAUAAGUCGGAUGUGAAAGCCCCGGGCUUAACCUGGGAAUUGCAUUCGAUACUGUCAGGCUAGAGUGUGGGAUAGGGUGGUGGAAUUCCCGGUGUAGCGGUGAAAUGCGUAGAUAUCGGGAGGAACAUCAGUGGCGAAGGCGACCGCCUGUCCCAACACUGACGCUGAGGUGCGAAAGCGUGGGUAGCAAACAGG
rnacentral:misc_RNA from 1 species